GCCUAGUUAGCUUAGUUGGUAGUGCGUCUGCCUUGUAAGCGCUAGGCCGCGGGUUCGAAUCCCGCCCGGGG
rfam:Asian citrus Psyllid, Diaphorina citri - Florida Strain, whole genome shotgun sequence.